GUCACACCAUGGGAGUGGGCUGCAAAAGAAGUAGGUAGUUUAACCUUCGGGGGGACGCUUACCACUUUGUGGUUCAUGACUGGGGUGAAGUCGUAACAAGGUAGCGCUAGGGGAACCUGGCGCUGGAUCACCUCCUUAAACGAUGAU
rnacentral:rRNA from 1 species